rnacentral:rRNA from 1 species
UACGUAGGGUGCGAGCGUUGUCCGGAAUUAUUGGGCGUAAAGGGCGCGUAGGCGGUCAGCACAAGUCAGUUGUGAAAUCUCCGGGCUUAACUCGGAAAGGUCAACUGAUACUGUGCGACUAGAGUGCAGAAGGGGCAACUGGGAUUCUCGGUGUAGCGGUGAAAUGCGUAGAUAUCGAGAGGAACACCUGCGGCGAAGGCGGGUUGCUGGGCUGACACUGACGCUGAUGCGCGAAAGCCAGGGGAGCGAACGGG